CAACGUCCAUAGCAUCAAGGACCUCCUCGCGCCCCUGUGCAGAUGGCACUCGCUCGUGAUCACAGGAAACCAGACGACGCAUGUGUCCGUUGUCUGUCAGCGCCGACAAGGUUGGUUCUAUGUUAAGGCCCUGCGUCCUCACGUAAGAGGGCAUGAUUCAUAAGAAAACAAAUACUUCAGGCACGAUGGAUAUUGAUGUAGACUACAUCAAAGUGCUGCGGGACCAAAUUGAGAAAAAUUGUGGUGGUGAUGAUUGAUCUGUAUUUUUUGAAGGGGGUCAUUGGUCAUGACUCCACUAUAGCAUAGGUGAUAAUUCCUCACCCUAUAUUUGCGUGUAGUAGCCUCAAACAUCAACUUUCUUAUGAUUUUUCUCUAGCAUGUUGCUCGCUGGUUUUGACUAUUGAUUUUGGUAGACGGUGCCCAGUUUAGGACAUGAUCCAACUCUCAGUUACAUACAUGGACCUUCUCUUUCUACAUCUCUAUGGUAGUAAACUUUCUUACUUUAGAGACGGAUCAGAAGGCGUUUCUUUUGCUUUUGGUGUU